UCCCUGGUGGCCCAGUGGAUAAGACUUUGUGCUCUCAAUGCAGGGGGCCUGGGUUCGAUCCCUGGCCAGGGAA
rnacentral:tRNA from 1 species